GCAGGAAAGUUCCUGAUGGGUGCGUUUUACAAACCUCUUGUAAAACAGGAAAGUUUCCCAAGUCCCCACUCGACCCAGGAAGUUCAGCUGGCUUCACGUCUCAACAGGAAGCCCUUCAUGUAUCAGCCCACUGCCUCCAAGUUUCUGGUAAGAAAUCUGCUGAUAGUUUUAUUCAAGACCCCCAGCAUAUGAUAAGUCACUUUUUUCUUGCUGCUCUCAAAAUUUUUUCUGUUACUUUGGCUUUUGAAAGUUUGAUUAUAAUGUCUCUCAA